UUCAACUGGGAUUUUUUACAAAGGCACCGAGCAACUAGAAAUAUUCAGUUUCGAUUAGUCUCGAAACAUGGAGAAUUUACCUCAAUGAACGAUAAUUUCUUUCCAGGUUAAAAUGGAAAGCCAAUUCUUUUUGGAACAGAUCAUUAUGGGGAAAAGCAGACCAUAGAGAAAACAGCUGAAAACGGGCGAGUUGCAGAGUUCAGUGGGACGGCAAAUGACAAGGAAACUAGCUACAUUCUGAUAAAAGUCAUCAUUUUUGCACGGCACUGUUUCAAACGUAUAUUCAUUAAACCUUUGACAGAUUUCA